UACAGAGGGGGCAAGCGUUGUUCGGAAUUACUGGGCGUAAAGGGCGCGUAGGUGGCCUUCUAAGUUGAACGUGAAAUCCCUGGGCUCAACCCAGGAACUGCGUCCAAGACUGGGAGGCUUGAAUCCGGGAGAGGGAUGCGGAAUUCCAGGUGUAGCGGUGAAAUGCGUAGAUAUCGGGAGGAACACCUGUGGCGAAAGCGGCGCACUGGACCAUAACUGACGCUGAGGCGCGAAAGCUAGGGGAGCAAACAGG
rnacentral:rRNA from 1 species